GUGUAUCAAUGAUGAGGAUUAACAGUUAUCCCUAUCUUAUAUCUAUGAGUGAUAAUUUUUUUCUUCUGAGAUACAC